UGGGGAAUAUUGCACAAUGGGCGCAAGCCUGAUGCAGCCAUGCCGCGUGAAUGAAGAAGGCCUUCGGGUUGUAAAGUACUUUCAGUCGGGAGGAAGGUGUCAAGGUUAAUAACCUUGGCAAUUGACGUUACCGACAGAAGAAGCACCGGCUAACUCCGUGCCAGCAGCCGCCGUAAUACGGAGGGUGCAAGCGUUAAUCGGAAUUACUGGGCGUAAAGCGCACGCAGGCGGUUGAUUGAGUCAGAUGUGAAAUCCCCGGGCUUAACCCGGGAAUUGCAUCUGAUACUGGUCAGCUAGAGUCUUGUAGAGGGGGGUAGAAUUCCAUGUGUAGCGAUGAAAUGCGUAGAGAUGUGGAGGAAUACCGGUGGCGAAGGCGGCCCCCUGGACAAAGACUGACGCUCAGGUGCGAAAGCGUGGGGAGCAAACAGG
rnacentral:rRNA from 1 species